AAUCAGGGUUCUAAUUCUUUGUUCAGCCACAAAUCUCCUUUAGGACCUUGGGGAAAGAUCUUCUUCAUGCCUCAAUUCCCUCAUAGGACUUCUAUCCUUCACAGGUGUGUUGCCAGGCUAAUAUUAAUUGUCUACAAGCACUUUAAGAACUUUGCAUGGAAUGUGGCAUAGAAGUGCUAAAAAGACUGAGGCAGAUGAAAGCAGUGGGGAAAAUGUCCCACUCUUCUACUGGUAGCCCAUAACCAUGACUGAGUUUGAUCCCUGCUCCUUGCACCAGCAAUGGGAGAUGGAGGGUUGUCAGAGUUCUGCAGAGGCGGCGUGCAUAGCUCUUGAGGUAAAACUAUACUUUCAGUUAGCUAGAGGAGUUGCUGAAAGAGUAGCACAGAGAGGCUCUGAAGGAAACAGCUUCCAGUUCACUCCUCCAAAGGAAAAAUCAUUGUUAUGAAGAAGAAAAGAAGAGAGGGAAAAGUAGUAACAGAUCCUGACAGCAACCACUACUAUGGAAGAGAAUUAAAGCAUGAAUAACAGCUUUCAAACUAAGAGGUGGGGGAGAAUGCUAAAAUGAGAAGAGGCUAAAAAUACAUAUAGAGCAAUGGAUAAAGGGAAAACUAGACAUUCAGAGAAAAAAAAAGUUUAAAAGUAGGUGCUUAGAAAAGUGUAUACAAGUGUCUUGGCUACUAACCUCAGUCAUUUAAAAAAAAAAAUAAAAUCAGCUAUUCUAAAGUCAUACAUGGUGAAGGGAAGGGAAAAUCCUACUGAAGUUAACAAGAUGAAUUGUAAGGAAGCAUUCCCCAAAUAGUCAGCUAUUUAAAACAACAUUAAAGAAAAAAAAGUAAAGCUCUGAACCUCCAGACCUAGAGAAGUUACAACUAUAUCCAUGUUUUAUUUAUUUUGGGGGACUUUGCAACUAACACGAUCAGGCUUUGGAUAGGUUUUUGUUGUUAUUGGGAGAGGGUUUUUUUUGUUUUUGUUUUCUGUUUUGAGGAGUGGGGGGGUUGCAUCUCUGUAAGAGUAGGAGACAAAUCACACUGAGGUGGUGUUAUUCUUUAUCAGCUGUAGUUGAUAAAGGAUAAAGUAAUUAACAAGAAAAGUUCCAGAGUUAAUUUGCCAACAAGCAGAACACUUUAUACUAAAUACUUGCUCAGCUGAGAUGACUACCAUAAACUGAUACAUUUUCUCCCAAUCUGUAUUAUCCCUCAUAGCUUUACAGGUAUCAUACUCAAACAUGGGAUACUAGAGCAAGUAGAUAUUUAAAAACUUACUUUAGGGAAAACUCUUCUUCUGUUUCUGGUUAUAGACUGAAAUAUAGCAUAAGCUUCCAUCUUAUUCCUGAGGAUAAAUAAACAUAGACAGGGUCCUUUUUAAGGAAAUUUACUUUUACAGAGCAUGCCCAGUAGGUUCUUCAUGGUCUUCUGUGGGAAUGCUGGUAGUGGACAGACCCUAAAAGAGGUGGAGCUAGGGUUCUAUAUAUACAGCGCCAGGCAGCAAGUCCCACAUCACAGUGUAAAGAAAUUUUACAUAGAAAAAUCUUGAUUUGGAAAAUUGAACAACUAUGGAACAGAAUUGAAUUGUUGACCACCACAAACCCCAUCAGAGUCAAUGGAAAUUGGUGCAAGUCUAUUUAAAAAAAAUAAACCCGUAUUAUUUUGUCU